rnacentral:rRNA from 1 species
UACGUAGGGUGCGAGCGUUAAUCGGAAUUACUGGGCGUAAAGCGUGCGCAGGCGGCUAUUUAAGCUUGCUGUGAAAGCCCCGGGCUUAACCUGGGAACUGCAGUGAGGACUGGAUGGCUGGAGUGUGGCAGAGGGGGGUGGAAUUCCACGUGUAAGCAGUGAAAUGCGUAGAGAUGUGGAGGAACACCGAUGGCGAAGGCAGCCCCCUGGGCUAACACUGACGCUCAGGCACGAAAGCGUGGGGAGCAAACAGG